AGACUCAUCCAGCUGGUGCACAGAAGACUGCCAGUUCACCAAAGAAGCCAGGGGAAGGAGGUCGUCCCAUCCAAGUACUUCUGGAACAGCAGGCCAAACAACAGGCAUCCAUCAAGCUCCUGCAGGAACAGCUGAAGUCACUGGAGAGUUUCAAACAGGAGGCUUUACAGAGUUUCACUCAG